rnacentral:misc_RNA from 1 species
UGGAGUCUCUCAUCAUUCAAACUAUUGUGUAUUUCUGAGGAAGAUGCAAUAGCCUCUAGCUGCAACUUUUCAAGUAUUUCAUUCUGAUCUCCAACAUAUAUUGGCCUAUCUACAAGUGAUCCAUUAGGAGCAGUUGGUUCGUCCCCUGCAGACACAGGUUUGGUGACACAGGGCACUUCUUUGUGUUUCUUGAAACAAACCAGAGAGCAGCUUCAAGCAAAG